GGGGCUGGGAGCGACCUCGGGGCUGGCUGCUCCCCCUGCCCGCACCCGGGGGCUCCAGGGCCAUUUCCCACCGUUCUCCCCUCACCCUCUGCAGGUUUUGCCCUUUCCUGGGGCCCGGCUGUGCCUGCGCUGGGGUCAGCUGGAACCAGCCCCGGCUCUGGGCACUGCAUCCGUCCCAUUCCUGCGUUUGGGAUCUGCUCCAGGGGUACCUGACCCAUCCAGGCUGCCUUUGUGGGGAUGCUCGGCGUGCUCCAGCCCAGCCCAGCCCAGCAGCCCCUCCCUGGGGAGGGAGGGGGCUCCUGAUGUGACCAAGGGAGAAGCAUUGAAAGCUCUGGAGGAGAGGAUCCAUUAGUGAACAGAAGAGGUGAAUCAGAGGAAACAUCAGGUCUGUGGUGUGGAGACUUCCCAGAUGUUUGUUUUACUUUCUUGUUGCCCUCUCUGGACUGUGGAACAAAAUCCAUCAGCAGCUUAUUAAAAUGCUUUAGAAUAGAUCUGAAAUAUCUCAGUGAUGCUGUUGGUCUUAAAUCAAUUUGUUCUCGCACAGU